rnacentral:rRNA from 1 species
AACGAACGCUGGCGGCAUGCCUAACACAUGCAAGUCGAACGAUUAUGGAACUAGCUUGCUAGUGCCCAGAUAGUGGCAGACGGGUGAGUAACGCGUGGGAAUCUACCUAGUAGUACGGAAUAGCCGUUGGAAACGACGAAUAAUACCGUAUAUUCCCCUGAGGGGGAAAGAUUUAUCGCUACUAGAUGAGCCCGCGUUAGAUUAGCUAGUUGGUAGGGUAAUGGCCUACCAAGGCAAUGAUCUAUAGCUGGUCUGAGAGGACGAUCAGCCACACUGGAACUGAGAUACGGUCCAGACUCCUACGGGAGGCAGCAGUGGGGAAUAUUGGACAAUGGGCGAAAGCCUGAUCCAGCAAUGCCGCGUGAGUGAAGAAGGCCUUAGGGUUGUAAA